rnacentral:rRNA from 1 species
UAAAGUGAAGAGUUUGAUACUGGCUCAGAUUGAACGCUGGCGGAAUGCUUAACACAUGCAAGUCGUGCGGUAACACUUCGGGUGACGAGCGGCGGACGGGUGCGUAACGCGUGAGAAUCUACCUUUUAGUGGGGGACAACCCGGGGAAACUCGGGCUAAUACCGCAUAUGUCCUACGGGAUAAAGCAGGGGAUCUUCGGACCUUGCGCUAAAAGAUGAGCUCGCGUUAGAUUAGCUUGUUGGUAGAGUAAAAGCCUACCAAGGCAACGAUCUAUAGCUGGUCUGAGAGGAUGAUCAGCCACACUGGGACUGAGACACGGCCCAGACUCCUACGGGAGGCAGCAGU